rnacentral:rRNA from 1 species
UACGGAGGAUGCAAGCGUUAUCCGGAAUGAUUGGGCGUAAAGCGUCCGCAGGUGGCUGUGUAAGUCUGCUGUCAAAGAGCGAAGCUCAACUUCGUAAAGGCAGUGGAAACUACACGGCUAGAGUGCGUUCGGGGCAGAGGGAAUUCCUGGUGUAGCGGUGAAAUGCGCAGAUAUCAGGAGGAACACCGAUGGCGAAGGCAGCUCGCUGGGACGGUACUGACGCUGAGGCGCGAAAGCGUGGGGAGCAAACAGG